rnacentral:rRNA from 1 species
UGGGAUUAGAUACCCCACUAUAUAGAGUAUAAAUUGUAUACCUAAGCACUAUGACUAUAAAGUUAAAACUUAAACUACAUGGCGGCAGCUAGAAAUUUCAGGGGAACUUGCCAGGUAAAUGAUAAUCCUCAAAAUGACGSUACUUCUAUUAAUAGUUUGUAUAUCGCCGUCUUCAGCAUUCAUUUUAGAUGAAUUCAAAAUGUUUAUUACAAAAAGACAGGUUCUGAUGCAACCAAUAUAGAAGUCUAAGGUGAGUUACAAUAAAAAUUAAAUUUGGACUUAUUUUGAAAAUAAAAUAAUGAAAAUGGACUUGAAAGUAAC